CCUAAACUUCCAUCUUUACGCUACAAAAGCCGGAGGCAGCGAUUGAUGGCAUCCGGCAGCGAUAGACAGCGAGCAAGUUCUACCGCAGUCUAAGGAGGACGGAGAGAUGCGAUCGCCGCCGGCGAUGACUAGGGGAGGCGGAGGAGAGGGACUUAGGCAGCACUACCUGCAAAACAUGCACGAUCGUCAGCUUCAGGUUCGGCAGAAAUAUUACAGUCUCAACUGUCCCGAUGCGCAUUGUAAUGAUCUCAACGCCAAAGGGAGUGGAGUUUGCAUGAUGAGCACUGCCUGGAAAGAGGAGCAGCACCCAUCUUUCAUCAUCUUCAUUUCAUCAUUCCUCCAUACAAAUUCAUAUAGGCUCAACUUUCUUCAGAUAGCCCCGGAUUUUAUAUUCAACAACGGAGGAACAUCAGUUGCAUUCCUAUUCAUUACAAAUUGGGACUGUCAUGAUGCCCCUUCCGUCUUUAGCAGGGUUGUGACACUGAAAAGACAGUUCAGGCAUCUUUAUGUUGUUGUUUCUGCCCCAACUAAGGAGCAGAAUGACUCAUUUAACGACUCAUACUUCAAGCAUGCCAUGGAGCUUGGUAACCCAACAUUUGUGCCAGUUUGUGAUCCAGAGAUGGGUUUUGAGAAGAUUGUGAAGAUUGCUCAUGCUCGUGGAGUUUGUAAGCAACAAGAUGUCAUAUCCAUGAUGAAGCUUGAACGUAUGCAAUCAAUUGAGCAGAUGGAUUGCUUCCUUAGAGUCAUCACCACCAUUCCGGGAAUUGAUAACCAUGAUGCAAAUGCGCUUGCAGGUGCCGUCGGCUCUAUUGAAGCAAUUUCCAGAGCUUCCAAGGAAUUUAUUUUGGAAAGUACAGACCUUUCAGUGGAUAAAGCUGAAAGGAUUUUUAGAUUUUUUAGAGAUCCAGGCUACUAUCUCUGUCCAAAAAUCAAUUAAUUGCGAAGUUUACCAGUGACGAUGUCUAGUGUAAUAUGACGAUGUCGAGUGCAAUAUUCCAUUUAGCAAAACUCCCCUCCAGCAACCCCUCUUGGUGAAGAAUGGCUCCAUCGUUAAAACAGUGCAGGGGCAUACGGGUGGCCUUGUGUGCAUGCAACUUUUAACCACUAGAGAUUAUUAAGAGUUGGGGUGAAAUUACGUGUAAAAUCAACUUACGGCAUCUACAUACGUACCAUUCAAUUCCUGUGUAUUUACAUAUCCAACACCUAAAUUUUGCAUUUCAUAUUUAUGCUAAAAUUUUGUCACAUGAAAAUACCACCAUUUCACCUUUUAA